CUUUGGUUCUAUUUUGUUGGUUUCUAGGACCGAAGUAAUGAUUAAUAGGGAUAGUUGGGGGCAUUAGUAUUUAAUUGUCAGAGGUGAAAUUCUUGGAUUUAUGAAAGACUAACAUCUGCGAAAGCAUUUGCCAAGGAUGUUUUCAUUGAUCAAGAACGAAAGUUAGGGGAUCGAAGACGAUCAGAUACCGUCGUAGUCUUAACCAUAAACUAUGCCGACUAGGGAUCAGUGAGCGAUAAUUUUGUCCUCAUUGGCACCUUAUGGGAAACCAAAGUUUUUGGGUUCCGGGGGGAGUAUGGUCGCAAGGCUGAAACUUAAAGGAAUUGACGGAAGGGCACCACCAGGAGUGGAGCCUGCGGCUUAAUUUGACUCAACACGGGGAAACUCACC
rnacentral:rRNA from 1 species